AUGUUCUGGGUCCGCCAGAGACCCAGGCAGGGGCUGGAAUGUCUGGUGGGGAUCUGUGACAAUGGUGCUUACACCUCCUACGCGCCGUCGGUCCUGCUGAUCCUGCUGGCUCUCCCAGGGCUCCGGGCGGCCGUGACCCUGCUGGAGAGUGGGGGGGACCUCCAGCCCCCCGGGGGGUCCCUGCGACUCCUCUGCAGAGGAGCCGGGUUCGAUUUUGGACAAUUUGGGAUGGGCUGGAUGCGUCAACGACCCGGGCAGGGACUGGAAUUCGUCGCAGGGAUCACCAACACUGGUGGCAACACCGGCUAUGCGGAUUCAGUCAAGGGCCAGUUCAGGAUCUCCAGGGACAACGGGCAGAGCUCGGUGACGUUGACCAUGAACAACCUCAAGGACGAGGAUUCCAGAUCCUAUUUCUGUGCCAUACCUUAUUCUAGUGGUUGCUGGGCUGCUGGUAACAAUGGUGACAAUAUUGGUGAUUGCCUCCAGGCCAUGCUUUUUGCCCCACUCCCUUCAUUUUGUCCCUAA